CCAACCCUUUCUGGAGACUGAAUCUGAAGCAGCUAGAACACCCGUGUUGAUGAUAGAAACUGAUAGAAACUGUGUCAGCUAAUGUGAGGGUAACAUAUGACAGUUGGUUUCUUUUUCUAGAUUAAGAAGAAUAAACUGAACCCACUGCAGAGUAUUUCAUGUGGCAGCAGAAUAGAUUGUGACAAUAAGAUCAGCUAAAGUGCUGGGCGUCUGGGAAGUUUUCAAGCACUUUCCAACACCAAUUUUUGAUCCGAAUAUAUAUCUAGAGACACGACUGAAUGAGAUUCAUAAGGAAUUGUGAGUCAGAUAACGAUUACUCUGGAUUUAUGUAAGGGACUAACCAUGUCCAAGUUCUAGGGCUGAGGGAAAAGGAAAAUGAGGGAAUUUCACUGAAGAAGUUGGUGUCAAAAGGACUGACUUUACUGAACAGCUUCCUCCCUCCCCCCCAACUUUCAAGAGAUGCAUCUCCUGUAUGUAUAAGCUAAGUGUACUCAAGUUUACUUCAGAUACCUGGGUCUCAUACAGUUGAUCUUUGUGGAAUAAUCAUUGGAUUAUUAAUAUCAUUAAUUUUGUCCAGUCUUCCUCAACUUGAUCCCCUUUAGAUAUCUUGCAACUAUAAUUCUCAACACGUUUGGAGGGCACUAUCUUUGGAGAAACUGCACUAAGUCAUAAGUGGAUAUACAAUAGUAUUAAGUGUGCCUAAAGUAGCAGAUUCUGGCCUUUAUUGUUUCUUGGACAAGCAUGAAUGCUUAACAAUACCCAUUAAGAAUAUGCCUUUACAAAUUUUAUUUCUUAUGGAUACUUCUUGUAAUUACAAUUUAGCAUGUGUGUGUGUGUGCGUGUGUGUAAGCGCGCGCACACACACACACAACUUGAAGAUUAAAAAAAUGUCUAGGAAAGGCAAAAACAGGACAUUUUUGUGGGAUUGCUGCUGGAAUGUUUCUGUAAUGAAAAUGAAACCUCUCUGAUGAGCUUUUCCCUUAAAAAUACUCUAGAGGGAGUCAAAUCUAAGAAAGUUUAUUUAUGUUUCAUGGAUUUCAACUCUUGUGCCUUUCUAAACACAUUCUAUGUGCUUCCUGUUUAUCUAUUUUAUCCCUGCCUAUUAAUAAGUAGCUUUUGUUUGUACAUAUUUGUACAUGUUCAGAUUGGACAAGUAUUCAUGUCACUCAAAAAGACAUUAUUUAAAAUUGCAUGUCUCUCUCAGAAGAUUAAAUAGUGUUUGAAAAAAAAGUAAGGAUUGGCUUCAAGUUUAACUAAACAAAACCUUUGUCAGCUAAAAAGAAAGGAGCCUUAUAAACCAAAUAAAUGGAGUGAGGCUAUUAUUUUCAAGUUAGGCCACUUCCCUUGGGUACAUUGUAUAAUUUAAGGAUGUUAUGAAAAUAAAUGUUUAGAUCUAGUAGGUGUUUGGAAACAGAUUUUAGGGUUAUUUUUAAUGCCUAUGUGCACACACACAUAUAUUGCAAUAAUAAUUGCUUUGCUACCCAAAUUAAUUGAUGUAGAUUGCAAAAGAUCUAUGGUCCAUAAAGUAUUUUCCUGUCUUACAUUCUUGUAGUAGUUAUUAGAUGAAUGUACUGUAAAAGCUCCAAAGAAUUCAGCAUUUUAUAUUUUUUGCUGUGCUGAGAUUUUCUUCUAUAUUGACCAUUCUGAGCCAAUAUAGUGGGGAAAUUGUUUCAAUUUUCAAGGAGAGGAAAAACUCAGCAAAAUUUUUAUGGGUGAAAUGAGAGUCCUAACAGUAUAGAUGAAUUUUUCUAUUUUUCAUUCAAAUUCAGCUUCUGUUUCUCCUUGAGUUCAGAGCAAGAACAAUAGGCAGUCAGGAAGCUGAAGACUGAUGGUGAAGUAGCAUGACAAGAAAAAUACAGCAUUGGCAUUCUGCACCUUUCAAAAUCACAUAAGCACAAACACUUAAUUAAACGAAAUGCUAAAUAAAUUCUCAAGCACCUUGACAAUGAAAUAAAAUGAAAUAGUUCACUUGGAUAGCUACAGUAGAAUUUGCUGCCAGCAGUCAUGAUAAUGGCAGCCUGUUCAGAUGAUGUUCAAAGGGGACUGGGCAGGUUCACGGAGGAUUAGGCUAUCCAUGGCUAACACUAUUGAUGCAUGUUACCUCCUGCAUCAUAGACAGCUUUAAAUAGUCUUAAAUUUUGACUGCUGAGAAGCAACAGGGGCAAGGAGUUAUUAUUCUUCCACCCAAGUUUCCUAAUGUGAGUUUCCUAAUGCCUCCAAUUGGCUGCUCUGUCACACAGAGUGCUGGACCAGAUGGCUGAUGGCUCUUAGAAAAAUGUAGCCUUUUUGCAAGUGAGGAAAACUUUCGGGAAAUUGGAAAACAGAUUUUGAUGCAUGGGUUACUCUAUAUACAGCCCAAUAUUGCUAGAAUUGCAUUGCUUUCAGAAUCCAAUUUUCAGAAAGACACUGACUCUGAACAUGGAGGGUUCAUCAAAAAAUUAAUACUAACCUUAUUUCUUUUGAAAUUGUAUACUUCUAAAAAACGUGUGUGUCGAUGCCAUUAUUGUUCCUUGUAAUAAUUAGUCCCAUACAUUUAUGAGUUUGGCAAAGUACUGUAUGCUCUUUUAUGUAUACUUUUGUACAAAUGCUAUCAAUUAAUUUAAUUGGAUGAUCAAACCUCAUUCUAAGCCUAAUCAUAAAUGGAGAAGGAAUUUUGUUUUACCUGUAUUUCCAGUACUACUAGAAAUGAUAAUAUAAUGUAAAUCAUUUAUAUAAAGAUAUAAAUCUGGA